ACACCGGCAGCCCGAGUGGUGGCCACUUUUAUUGGGCCUAAAGCGUCCGUAGCCGGUCUGGUAAGUCCCUGUGUAACUCCUCAGGCUCAACCUGAGGAAGUGCGGGGAUACUACCAGACUCGGGGCCGGGAGACGCGGAGGGUACUCAAGGGGUAGCGGUGAAAUGCUGUAAUCCCUGGGGGACCACCAGUGGCGAAGGCGCUCCGCGAGAACGGGCCCGACGGUGAGGGACGAAAGCCAGGGGAGCGAACAGGAUUAGAUACCCUAGUAGUCC
rnacentral:rRNA from 1 species